UUUGACCUCAAAUCAGGUAGGACUACCCGCUGAACUUAAGCAUAUCAAUAAGCGGAGGAAAAGAAACUAACGAGGAUUCCCCUAGUAACUGCGAGUGAAGCGGGAAGAGCUCAAAUUUCGAAUCUGGCGG
rnacentral:rRNA from 1 species